rnacentral:rRNA from 1 species
AUGGCGUACAACCCUUCGCGCGCGCGCCUCUCGCCGCCAGCUCCCGCGGCCCCUCGCCCCAGGAAGCGCGGACGCUCCCCCUCUGCUCCCGGCGCGGCGGUGUGGCGCGCGUCCGCAUACGUCGCUCCUUUCGACCACCGCCGCCGCUGGCAGGAUCCCGCAGGCGCGUCUGGCCGCGUCUGGCAGGGGUACCACGCGCCGCAUGCUCCGGUGCCCUACCGGCGGUGGAUCUUCGCGGACGAGGCAGCGACCUCGGGCUCAGAUGCAUGCACAAUCAUGUCAUACAACAUCUUGGCGGAUAACAAUGCACGGAACCAUCCUGACCUUUACUUGGACGUCCCUUGGGAUGCUUUGAGGUGGGAUUCGAGGAGAAGGCUUAUUAUCCAUGAAAUUAGGCACUGGGACUCUGACUUAGUGUGUCUUCAGGAGGUGGAUAGAUUCCGGGAAAUCGCUGCAGAAAUGAAGAACAAAGGCUAUGAAUGUAGCUUUAAGGGGCGCACUGGGGAUGCUAAAGAUGGAUGUGCUACCUUUUGGAAGUCAGAACGGUUACGUCUGCUUGAGGAAGAUAGUAUUGACUUUAGUGAAUUCAAUCUACGAAAUAAUGUUGCUCAAGUAUUAGUUUUUGAGCUUAACGGAACCCAAAAAUUUGUACUCGGGAAUAUCCAUGUUUUGUUUAAUCCAAAGCGUGGAGAUAUAAAAAUGGGACAGAUCCGCAUGCUACUGGAGAGGGCGAAUGCUCUUGCUGGAAAAUGGGAUGGAAUUCCUAUUGUGCUGGCUGGUGAUUUUAACAGCACACCUGAAAGUGCCAUCUACAAGUUCUUGUCGACAAUGAAGCUGAACGUUUCUUUGCAUGAUAGAAGGCAGUUGUCUGGACUGGAUAGCUCUGAAUUUGGUUUGUAUUGUAGUUUACUGAACUGCGAAUGGAGUGACGAAGAAGUGAGAAAUGCGACAGGGUCCUCAAAUGUCAUGGUCGCUAGACAUCCGUUGAAGCUCUCUAGCUCUUAUGCCAUGUUAAAGGGAAAUUCAAGCAAUAGGGGUCAUCAUGGUGAACCUCUAGCAACGUCAUAUCACAAGAGGUUUCUUGGGACUGUUGAUUAUUUGUGGUAUACUACUGGGCUUGAAUGCUCCAGAGUUUUGGACACACUACCUGUGGACGCUUUGAGGAGAACGAGGGGUCUUCCAACCAGGGAAAUGGGCAGUGAUCAUCUGCCAAUUGUUGCUGAAUUCAUCUUCUCAGAACAGACCAGAGAUGCAUCCGAGCAAGAAGAUGAAUCUGAAAGGUUUAGGAUAACCGACUCGGAGGGCACAGCGCACAGCACAUCAGAGUAUGCACGGCGGUGA